GAUGAACGCUGGCGGCGUGCCUAAUACAUGCGAGUCGAGCGAACGGACGAGAAGCUUGCUUCUCUGAUGUUAGCGGCGGACGGGUGAGUAACACGUGGAUAACCUACCUAUAAGACUGGGAUAACUUCGGGAAACCGGAGCUAAUACCGGAUGAUAUUUUGAACCGCAUGGUUCAAAAGUGAAAGACGGUCUUGCUGUCACUUAUAGAUGGAUCCGCGCUGCAUUAGCUAGUUGGUAAGGUAACGGCUUACCAAGGCAACGAUGCAUAGCCGACCUGAGAGGGUGAUCGGCCACACUGGAACUGAGACACGGUCCAGACUCCUACGGGAGGCAGCAGUAGGGAAUCUUCCGCAAUGGGCGAAAGCCUGACGGAGCAACGCCGCGUGAGUGAUGAAGGUCUUCGGAUCGUAAAACUCUGUUAUUAGGGAAGAACAUAUGUGUAAGUAACUGUGCACAUCUUGACGGUACCUAAUCAGAAAGCCACGGCUAACUACGUGC
rnacentral:rRNA from 1 species